GUCGAACGCUGGCGGCGUGCUUAACACAUGCAAGUCGAACGGGAUUUAGUAAACGGAAGCCUCGGUGGAAGAUUACUAAUGAGAGUGGCGAACGGGUGAGUAACGCGUGAGCAACCUGCCUAUGACAGUGGGAUAGCCUCGGGAAACCGGGAUUAAUACCGCAUAAAAUCGUAGAAACACAUGUUUCAACGGUCAAAGAUUUAUCGGUCAUAGAUGGGCUCGCGUCUGAUUAGCUAGUUGGUGAGAUAACAGCCCACCAAGGCGACGAUCAGUAGCCGGUCUGAGAGGAUGAACGGCCACAUUGGAACUGAGACACGGUCCAAACUCCUACGGGAGGCAGCAGUGGGGAAUAUUGCACAAUGGGGGAAACCCUGAUGCAGCGACGCCGCGUGAACGAAGAAGGUAUUCGUAUCGUAAAGUUCUGUCCUAUGGGAAGAUAAUGACAGUACCAUAGAAGAAAGCUCCGGCUAAAUACGUG
rnacentral:rRNA from 1 species